CAGGGCAGGAGGAACCUUGGAGACCCCUGUAGCCUUGCUGCAACAAGCCUCCUUUUUGUGGUCUCUCCUGGAGGACUAAGAGAGGAUUUGUGUGCACGCACCUGGGUGCUAAGGAGGAGCUUCUUUGGGAGUUUUCGCCUUUCCAUCUUGAUUUUGUAGAAAGCAGACAUCCCCUGUGUAGAAGCAGGAGGAUGUUACUGACAAAGUGAUGGCUCAGCUGUUUUACAUCCGGUGCUUGCGCCAGAUACCCAAGGCACUGCAGGGACUGUGCCCCUUGGGACAUCUUACAGCUACCCCCCCCGCCCAGCACUUGCCUGUCCAGCAGCUCAGACUCCCUGCUGCAGGAAGAGAGUCCCCAGGUUAGGAUUCACGAUCCCAGAUCUGCAAGGCUCCAGGUGGAGAGUGCCUGGGAGUACCAGGAAAUCAUCUAGGGAACAAAGAAGAUCCAUGCCCUUCUGCUGAGACAGUCCCCACCUUGAUCCUGGUUCAUGCCUCCGUGUACCGUUCUGCCCUCCAGUUCCUGGCUAUUGACUCUGGCUUGAUCCUCAGCUCUGGUCUCUGGCUACUGACCUUGGCAUGACCCUAAGCUCUAGAUGUUGGCUACAAACUCUUGCUCAGUAUUAUCCUUGCCCUCCUCUAGCCUCUCUCCAGCCCCACCAACAACCCACUCCAGCCUUGCCUCCUCCUCCUGAUCCUCCCCCAAACCCUUGGACUCUGAUUACCUGGCUUCAACCUUCUGCCUGUAUCUGGAAUGUGGCUUAAUAUCGACUUGGCUUUCCUUUGGACUCUGACCACCUGGCUUCGAUCUCUGGCUGCACCUGGACUCUGGCUACGGUUCUGAUUCUGGUUUGUCUAUGGACUGUGAUCUUGGUUUUGACCCCGGAUCUCGAUUCCCUCACCAUCCUUCGCCCAGGCCCAACCCUAUGCCUAACUGUGACCUACGCUUCAACCACUAGGCCUAAUUAUCGGUGGCAGCACCUGACACCAAGUGGUGCAAAUUUUUGCAGAAAAGAAGGCCCUCCACACAUAAAAGUGUCCCAUACGCAAAAGGGGACACAUCACACCAGGUAUGAAUGAUGGCCUUGCUAUCUGAGCCUGGCCCUGCGGUGCCCCUAGUGGAGUGAUUCAGUGGAGAUGACUGAAAAUUCAGGGGUUUCCUUAACCAGCCUCUGCCCCUGGACUCACUCCACCAAUCAGGCCAAGGAGGGAUUGACCAGUGAGGUGCGAGAUUUGGCCUCACCUCUACUUAGGCAGAAUAGCCUGCACUAACAGACGGGAGAACCUUCUUAUGUGAUUGACUAAAGCUUUCCUGCCAAAAUUCUAGCAGGCAUGGAGGCCAGCCGCCUCUUAUACUAUGUACUUCUGAUGGUUUGUGGCCAAUGCUGAAUGGAACCAGUGGCCCAGUUUUAUCAUUUCUGCUGGGCACUCAGUGAAGAGGUCAAGGAGGAGCUAGCCUGGCUAGAGGCCUUCUUGGGCCUGCACAGCUUCAUUGAUCUAGCGGCCAUGCCCAUUGAGAACUGUUAUCACGAGUGGAGGGAGGAAAAGAGAAGAGGGUAUUACACAGACAAUUCGCACAGGCUCUGUGCUAGCACCCUUGAGUUCAUCCCCUGAACCCAUGCAGGUCAACAUGGCCCAGCGAUGCUUGACCACUGAGGAGAGGGAGUGAAGUCAGGCAAUAACCUGUUCUUCUACUGCGGCAAGCCAGAGCAGCACUCACUGAAUACCUGGCAUGGACCCCAGCCAGGAAAGUAUCGGGAAAUGAACAAGCCCAAGUUUUCACGGGGAUCCAGCUGGGUCCACCUGGGCCCUCUCUGUAUCUCCAGGUUUCAGUUCAGUUGUGCAUCCCCAGAGAAACACGACAGGUGCCACUGCAGUGGGCACUUAUUGAUUCUGGGGCUGCAGACAAUAUCAUAAAUUUCAAGACAGCCCAAGGUCUGCAAAUCCUCGUCCAGCAGAAAUCACAUCGGCUGUUGUGGAAACGAUUGACAGGACCCUCUUUUCCUUUGGGCUGGUAACCCAGGAGAUGAUGGCCCUGGAAGUGGUAACCCAGGUACACAAAGAAAUGCUGACAUUCGCUGUGAUAUGUUCCCCACAUUUCUGUGGGCUCACCUGGUUAGCAUGACAGGACCCCCAUGUUCUCUGGCAAACCCAGAAGACCAGCUUUCCCUCCAAGCGCUAUCAACAGGCCUGUCUCCAUAGCAACAGCAUCGAGUUCCUGGGCCCAGAGGCCCAUUCCCAGACAGUGGUGAGUCCAUCCCUGUAUGUACCGGAGCUCACAGCAACUGGCUGCAGUGAACCAUUCUUGGGUCUGAUACCUCGCAUUCCUGAUAAAUACCAGGUUUAUGUGAAUAUGUUUGAAAAAAAUGAGGACACUUUGCCUCUGCACCAAGACUAUGACUGCCCUAUUGACCUACAACCUGGGGCCGAAUUUAUGCAGUGUCCAAAACAGAACUAGUGGCUUUCCCUGCGUAUAGUCAAGAAAACCCAUCCAAAGGGUUUAUUUGUCACUCAGCGUUUCCCACAGAGGCCCCGUCCUCUUUGAAAAGAAGAAAGGUGGGAAUAUGCACCUCUGUGUAGACUACCAUAGAUCAAUUGAGCAAGAUGGUAGGUUUCAUCCGCUGUGACCAUGUACCUUUGGCUAAGAGGACAGAUCAGCUCCUAGAAACAGAUGUCAUCUUCCUAACCGCAUAACCUCAGAUAAAGGGCCCCGUUUCAUUUCUUGUUUCUGGUGAUAAACUGCCUGGCUACUGAACAGUCACACCGAUGCCUCCUGGGCAUACUACCUGCAGACGAAUGGCCAGAUGGCAAGUGUGAACCAAGUACUGACCAAUAUUUAUGUAGUUUUUCUUAACUAUAACCAAGAGAAUUGGUCCACCCUCCUACGCUCAGGGCUGGCCUUACCAUGAGGCGAACUGAAGCGGCCGCCUCAGGUGCCAGACUGUGGGGGGGCCGCCACUAGGACCCAGAUUGUAGAAAAUUGUGUCUGCUGCUGGUGCAUAUGUAUUCU